GAACACAACAGUCGAAGAGCAAAAGUCAGAUUUUGACAAACUCAAGGCGUUGCUAACGAGCAUGUGCUUCACAUUGUACAAUCAAAAGGAUGACAUUGCUGUUUUUCAAAAGUCUUCAGAUAAUAGCUGCUAUGAUCAGCUUACCCCAUCUUCCUACCCACCCAAGUGCGAUGACAGCACUGAUUUGGAUACAGCAUGGUAUGUUCCUCUCCGUCCUUGCCUUACCGUUCCAGACCAAGGCCUUAAGAAGUUGGCGCUGAGAUCCACUCCAAAAUGGCCAAGUCGAUUGCUUGUAGCUCCUGAGCGCAUCUCUAAGGUACCUGGUGGGAAUGCUGGUGGGUUCAAGCACGACAACAGUAAAUGGAAGGUUAGGGUGAAGCACUACAAGACCGUGCUUCCUGCUCUUGGAAGUGAUAAGAUUAGAAAUGUUAUGGACAUGAAUACACUGUACGGAGGGUUUGCAGCAGCACUUGGUAACUCUUCAUUGUGGGUGAUGAAUGUUGUAUCUUCU
rnacentral:misc_RNA from 1 species